rnacentral:rRNA from 1 species
UACGAACGCUGGCGGCGUGCUUAACACAUGCAAGUCGAACGGAAAGGCCCUGCUUUUGUGGGGUGCUCGAGUGGCGAACGGGUGAGUAACACGUGAGUAACCUGCCCUUGACUUUGGGAUAACUUCAGGGAACUGGGGCUAAUACCGGAUAGGAGCUCCUGCUGCAUGGUGGGGGUUGGAAAGUUUCGGCGGUUGGGGCUGGACUCGCGGGUUAUCAGCGUGUUGGUGGGGUAGUGGCUUACGAAGGCUUAGACGGGUAGCCUGCCUGGGGGGGUGACCGGCCACAUUGGGACUGAGAUACGGCCCAGACUCCUACGGGAGGCAGCAGUCGGAAAUAUUGCACAAUGAGCGGAAGCCGGAUGCAGCAGCGCCGCGAGCGGGAUGACCUCCUUCGGGGUGAAAACAACUUUCGCCUGAGCCGAAGCGUGCGUGACGGUAAUGGGUAAAGAAGCACCGGCUAACUACGUG